rnacentral:lncRNA from 1 species
AGACAUUGAUCCGGAGGGAAAGAAAUUCGACAGAGGUAACGUUAAUUAGUUCAAAUUCAUUUAAUUUAAAUGUUGCUGUAGAGUUUUAUCGAUUAGUGAUUUUAAUAAAAGAGCAGGGAUGCCGUGUCGAACGAGUCUGGACAAACCACGUGGUUUACGUCGAUACGUAUACACAAAACUACUUUGUUUUAUUUACUUUCUCAAAUAGUUUCCUAUACGAUCAUCAGUUAAUUGGAGGGUUGCAACUUAGGCGAAAACAGUAAAAAAAGUAUUUACAGGAAUUAAUUACCGAAACAUAAGUGACGUCACUAAAAUAUUGCGCAUCGCACGCAAAGUGCAGUUACUUUGCGGAUAUCUUGGCCUUCGGAGGUUCAGGUAGGUGUAUAUACACACAAAACUUUUACCCGUACAUCUGUCGCAGCGCGGUUAUUAGAAUCUGCAACAUAUUCUAUGGCAAACAGUCGCCAGCUGAUCGGACGAUGUUUAGUUGUCGCCGAUGAUGUUUCUGAGCGCUCUCCGUCAAUUCCCUUUGUAAACGGACGAGCGAUUGGUAGAGGCAACCGGAUGACGAAACACUGGCGUAAAGCCUUACUCGUUAGCUGGACGUUCGAGAUGGAGGGAGGAGAAAUCGGGGGAACUAAGUUGCGUACGUGGAAGAAACGACGCAGUCCGUAGAUUGACACCGAGUGGUAUGCUAUGCAACUUUGUUAUAUCAAUACGACCGUACUUUUUUGUGUGGUUUAUCUAUUGCCGUCGCCGAUGGACGAUAACCAAUAUAAGGUUAUCAGAUAACCACUUCAAAUAUCGACAGGUGAGUUUUCUAAUCGUUUAUUUAAAUAUCCGACGUGUCCGGCACUUCUGUAACGUUCAAACUAACUGCUAUCAUUCAGUUUUAACUUGUUUUGCCCUUUUUUUCGGCUCGUCUUCGAAGCGAGUUGACUGUAAAAGCCACACGUCACAGUAACUGCGUUAUAAGUCGCACAGUCCAAUAUUAAACGUAAAAUUGGCAAAAAUUACGUCACAUUAGUGGAAUUUGCAUUCCGACUCUGAAAACGUUUCACAUUCUGCAAAUUAUCGUUGCACAUCUACGUGAAACGUUUCUCCCUCCACUUUCGGCAAAAUUGAUAUAAGGUACGUUUAAUUAUAUUCGAAUCAUGUAAUUAGUAACAAUUAAUUAAACGAAUUUUUCAAUUAUUUUCCUAAAAAUCGUCGUUGGAACAGGAAAAAAACCAGAGUUAUUUCGAAAUCUGCGUCUAUGAGGUGACUUAAAACUCAUUUAAUACGCAUAAAAAAAAGACGAAAUUAAUGCCUAAAAAGACGUUAUUUUUGAUCAUCUUUCGUUAGAAAAUCGGAAUUAGCUACAUUUAAUCAUCCGCAAUUAUUGAUAGUUAUUAAAACAGUCCGGCGUUAGCUACGAGAAUGCGUGACUCAUUGAAUUUUCUAACUGUACAAUCGUUUGGAGUCAACAGAGAGAGAAAGAGGAAAAAUUUAUGACUCAAUCCACCCCUGAUUCACAUGUUGAUUCAGAUCGUGUUACUAGAUUAUUAAUUAACUGGAAGUAACUUUUAUGCAAAACAAAAAAAAACUGACGAAGGUGUACUGGAACUGUGCAAGGUCGAAUGUUAAAUUUAUUAAGCUCGUAGCCGGGUUUCUAUCUCGAACAUGUAUCUACUAGAACAGAAAGUACACGUAAAAUAGCAAAUGUCGAAAAUUUAAGAGAGAAAUCACUCUCUGAUAAUUUUGAUGUUUAUUUGGAAUUAGAAAAAGUAUCGUGUAACGUCUUCCCCGACUAUAAGGUUACUCUUAUUUGUGUUUUCGUAACCUGCGCGCAUACAUACGAAUACAAUUUUUACCUUUUUGCCUGUAACAAAGCUUAAAACAUUUUUACAGUAUUGGAGAAAGAAUGAUUGCUGCUAAGCAGAUUAUAUAUUAAGAGAGAAUUUUGCAACAGCGCAGAAGAAUGUUCGCGUUUGACGGUUUAUUCUCUCGAAAUCUGCUUAAGCGGCAUUUAAAUCGAACGUGUUUAAUAAUCAGCAAAUUUUCGUUAAAAUAAUUUAGAAUUUUUAAUUAAUAGUUUAAAUCGUAACUGUAUCUGAUUAUAAUUUAGUUGUAUCAGUUAAAAAUAUUGAUUUAAUUAUAGUAAACAAGUGUUUUAAGUUAACGAUUUUUACGUAAAUAUUUUUUUUUUAUAUAAGCUUUUUCCUUUAUAUAAUAAUCAUCCGACACACGUAGGGAUUUCGGGAAUUUUUUUUUUUUUUUGUCGGAAUUUUCUGGGAAUUUCUGCCAGAUUUGUUUUAAAAUUUUCGUUACCUCGCCCUUUAAAGCAAUAAAUUAAGCAUUAUCGCCCGCCGGUAUUUACAUUAAUCCUUAUCGUUUUAUUUUGACUCUGAAAUUAUCGGAGAGGUUGACGCUUGAUCCAAAUCAGAUAUGCGCGUUCCAAGGAAAAAAAAUAAAAAAACAAGCAGGUGGCGCAUCUAUGCCCGUUAAUUAACGAGCGACUGCUAAUCGUCAUUAACGUUAACCUUCGUUACUUUCGAUCGCCAUUGCAGUGGACGAACGUUUACGGAACGAAUUCUCCGAAUCGGUUGGGACGCCGUAGAUUUUCUACCUCAGGCGCAUGCGUGACCUUGAACUUGAAAUCGUCUGGCGUGAUGGGAAGGGAGCAUGCGCGCAUCCCCCCGUUCGGCCGUAGAGGUGAAUUAAUGCGGUUCGUUCUCCUUUUCUAGUUCAAGUUUGACUCGUACGCGUUAAUCGGGCGCGAUCCGUUAUCGUCUUUCACCGCGUAGGUUCCGAUGACGUUUUCGCGUGUAAUUUGCCGGGUAAAAGUUGCGUAAUUGGCCCCUUCCGUGACGUCAUCGAGCAGAACAGCUGUGCUUUGUUUUAAACUUUGAACGCGAGGUGGAAGGUACGAGUACUGCGACGAAAGGAUAUUCGUUACCUGUUGCAUAACCAGUCGGAAUUUCUGUUAAGUAAUUACGUGGACGGAUCGGGAUUCGAAUGAAUGAUAAUUUAAGCCAUUGUUAAUCUGCCCCGGACACGCUGUUUAUGCAAAGCGUAAAAAAAAUUUUAUGGAAAUUCUGACGUAGCGACGGCAUUUUGAUCCAAUUAGAGAAUUGGCGCCGGUAAAUAGUUGGCAAAAGUUUCCGUCGAGCAGAAAAAGAAAGAAGAAAACGUCUCCGAGUAGCAAAAUGCAUUAUGUACACGUUCCGUGGUUGAUUUAUAGACACUGGAGAGAUAUAUUAAAAGUCUAUUAUUGCGAGAAUUCUGCGACGACAGUACGUUCCGAACAAAGAUUUAAUAAAGUAUAGCUUAGCGGUAGACAGAGAGAACGUCCCUGUCAUAUUUUUAUUGUAGUCGUAUCUCGCCGCGCUUUUUCUUUUCUUCUUGUUUUGGGUUGCAUUUGAUUGAAAAGAUGGGCCGUGAGCCAAGACAGACAUGAAUUUUUAUGUCGCCCGACGAAUUUGCCAUUUACUCUCUUUCCGUUAUGUCCACGUAGACAACCGGUUUGAUCGGUAAAUCGGAGAAAAAUAGUUAUUAUUAUUUUUUUUAAACAGCGCAGCAAUAUUUUUUCCGAGUUAUAAAAACGUAUCGACGGCGUAUAAAGUUGCCCUUGAAAUUCUGAACUCGACCUUAAAGUCCUUCGCUGUCUAACUAGUUACAUAAACAAUAAUAAUCUUGACUCAUUUUUUAAUGGAACGAACUAAUAGAACGACUUUUUUUUUAAUCCGUGUUAUUGUUCCGUCGUUAAGGAGCAGAAAAACUUCAAGGAUUUUUUUUUUUAAUUCGUUUACUGCAUAAUUGACCGAUAUGCGGAAAAUUCUUUCGUUAUUGUAACCCGCAGUUAUGCCAUUAAAACCAAAAAAAAAAAUGAAUAAAUCUGCCACUAAUUUUUGUGUCGAUUUUUUUCGUAAUCGUAUACGUUCGCAACACUAUCUUCAUGAAUCAAAUCUGUUCGUGAACUUGUUGUUUUAAGUGAGUCAAGGUCUUGGAAUGCAUUUAUUUGCUAUCGUUUGUUUUCUGUUAUGUAUUGGGGGGCCUCCGUGAACUUUGUGGUCUAUUUAUAAUCCAGAGUCCAACCAGAACUUCGUCAUCUAAGUAGGACAACGAUCCCGAAAUACAAAACGAUUGAUCGGAAAUCGCAUCCCACAUCGGUUCUUUUAUGAUCUGGAAAUAGUUCUUUCUUCAGACAAUUAAUUGGUGGUGGUUUUUUUUUCUUUUCUUUUUUUAAAACGCGUCGUGGGUGUGACGUCCGACCGAAAUUGCGUCACACGACGUGUUAACUGGGUCGCUUAAACUCGUAACUGCUGCCGUUACACGGACAAUAGGUUCAAACGCUUUUGUGACUCAUCCACUUGUGAUUUGAAUCAAAGGAAUUGAUUCGACAACACCCGUUCUACUUACAAGUCACGAAAUCGGCUUAACCUUUACCUAUAGUGAGCGCAUAUUGUUUAAAAUAAAAAAGCGUCGAUUGUUUUUCUGUAACUCUUCCUUAUGUCGAACGAUUUUUUUUUUUUAUUUCUUUUAAUUAAAAACAGAAUUAUUUUACAUUUCCAUUAUUCUCCGGAAUUGUAAGGAAAAAUCUGUCUUGGUAACCAUUUUGAUGCAUAGUCUUCUAUAGCUAGGGAUUCUAUUAUUCGACCUUGCUUAAAAUUGCAGUAAAUUAUUGAUAUAUCAUCAUUGCAAAUUUCGUAAAGCGAUGUUUGUAGUAUCCAUUUUACUAUAGAAUUGGCUGUUGUAAGCGAACGAACAUUCUCAAAAAACCAUUGAUAACUACUGAUAGAAAUGAAUUUCUCCCAGUUAAAAAAUAAUAAUAAGUGUUAAAGUAGUAGCUCCUGUGUAACCUGUUGUUAUAGUUUGAGCUGAAACUCUGUA